UACAGAGGGUGCAAGCGUUAAUCGGAAUUACUGGGCGUAAAGCGUGCGUAGACGGUCGCGUAAGUCGGGUGUGAAAGCCCCGGGCUCAACCUGGGAAUUGCAUUCGAGACUGCUCUGCUAGGGUGCGGAAGAGGGAAGCGGAAUUUCCGGUGUAGCGGUGAAAUGCGUAGAUAUCGGAAAGAACACCAACGGCGAAAGCACUCUGCUGGGCCGACACUGACACUGAGAGACGAAAGCUAGGGGAGCGAAUGGG
rnacentral:rRNA from 1 species